ACCAAAUAUGACCCUUAUGCCAAAUAGCAAUCAUUUUAAUUUGCCACGAAUUUUUACAUAUAGUACUUUCUUUACCUAACAGAAUUUUCUCUUAAGAUAUGUUGUUAAUCUCGAGAUGAGAUUAUUUGCUAAUCCAUAAUUAGAAACAAAAUUGAGUAACGUAAAAUUAAUUUUCUUUCAAUAUUUAACCAUGAAACAUGAUUGAUGAGCAUAUUCUAGGACAUUGAUAACAAUAAAAACAAAUUAUGCGAACCCAAGGUAUGUUUUGUAUAAAAGGCCUGCGAUGUUAAAGCAAGCCAUCAACUAUUUCGGGCACAACAUUGAAAUAACAACAUUGUUCAAAAAUGCGUACUUUUAUCAUAGUUCUUGUUGCGGUAAUUUGCUGUUUGGUUGUUUGUACCAAUGCAGCUGCACUGCCAGAAUAUUCUGAAGAAAAUCGCAAUGAAAUAAUAACAGAUGAUAUAGUCGAACAAAAUAAUGAAGAUGAACCACAAAUUCAGGAUAAUGAAAAAAUUAAUCCACAACGUCGUACCCUAUUCCUUCUGCUACCUCUACUGUUUCCCGAUCAAUUUUAUUUCUCUUAAAUAUGACUUGAAAACGUGGAAAUUUAAAGGCGAUACUUGGACCGGAUUUUUAUGCUAAUUUCAAAAAUAUAAUAAACGAAAUAAACGAAGAAAUAAUAUAUCAUUUUAA